GUUUUAGUAAUUUAAAAAAAAUAUCGGUCUUGUAAACCGAAAAUAAGAUUUCCCUUUUAAAACU
rnacentral:tRNA from 1 species